rnacentral:rRNA from 1 species
ACACGACUACAUUAGAUACCCGUGUAGUCCUAGCCGUAAACGAUACUCGCUAGGUGUCGGCCACGGUGCGACCGUUGUCGGUGCCGUAGGGAAGCCGUGAAGCGAGCCACCUGGGAAGUACGGCCGCAAGGCUGAAACUUAAGGAAUUGGCGGGGGAGCACCGCAACGGGAGGAGCGUGCGGUUCAAUUGGAUUCAACGCCGGACAACUCACCAGGAGCGACGGUUACAUGAAGGCCAGGCUGAUGACCUUGCCUGAUUUUCCG